UACGUAGGGGGCAAGCGUUGUCCGGAAUCAUUGGGCGUAAAGAGCGUGUAGGCGGUCCGGUAAGUCAGCUGUGAAAGUCAAGGGCUCAACCCUUGAAAGCCGGUUGAUACUGUCGGGCUAGAGUCCGGAAGAGGCGAGUGGAAUUCCCGGUGUAGCGGUGAAAUGCGCAGAUAUCGGGAGGAACACCAGAGGCGAAGGCGGCCGGCUGGACCUGACCUGACGCUGAGGCACGAAGGCGUGGGGAGCGAACGGG
rnacentral:rRNA from 1 species